CUACGGGAGGCAGCAGUGGGGAAUACUGGACAAUGGGCGCAAGCCUGAUCCAGCAAUGCCGCGUGGGUGAAGAAGGUCUUCGGAUUGUAAAGCCCUUUCGGCGGGGACGAUGAUGACGGUACCCGCAGAAGAAGCCCCGGCUAACUUCGUGCCAGCAGCCGCGGUAAUACGAAGGGGGCUAGCGUUGCUCGGAAUGACUGGGCGUAAAGGGCGCGUAGGCGGCGCAUUUAGUCAGGCGUGAAGGUCCUGGGCUCAACCUGGGGACGGCGCUUGAUACGGGUGUGCUUGAGUGCGGAAGAGGGUCGUGGAAUUCCCAGUGUAGAGGUGAAAUUCGUAGAUAUUGGGAAGAACACCGGUGGCGAAGGCGGCGACCUGGUCCGUGACUGACGCUGAGGCGCGAAAGCGUGGGGAGCAAACAGGAUUAGAAACCCCAGUAGUCC
rnacentral:rRNA from 1 species